GAUGAACGCUAGCUACAGGCUUAACACAUGCAAGUCGAGGGGCAGCAUGGUCUUAGCUUGCUAAGGCCGAUGGCGACCGGCGCACGGGUGAGUAACACGUAUCCAACCUGCCGUCUACUCUUGGACAGCCUUCUGAAAGGAAGAUUAAUACAAGAUGGCAUCAUGAGUCCGCAUGUUCACAUGAUUAAAGGUAUUCCGGUAGACGAUGGGGAUGCGUUCCAUUAGAUAGUAGGCGGGGUAACGGCCCACCUAGUCUUCGAUGGAUAGGGGUUCUGAGAGGAAGGUCCCCCACAUUGGAACUGAGACACGGUCCAAACUCCUACGGGAGGCAGCAGUGAGGAAUAGUGGGCAAUGGGCGAGAGCCUGAACCAGCCAAGUAGCGUGAAGGAUGACUGCCCUAUGGGUUGUAAACUUCUUUUAUAAAGGAAUAAAGUCGGGUAUGGAUACCCGUUUGCAUGUACUUUAUGAAUAAGGAACGGCUAACUCCGUG
rnacentral:rRNA from 1 species